rnacentral:rRNA from 1 species
UGCCAGCAGCCGCGGUAAUACGUAGGGUGCAAGCGUUGUCCGGAAUUAUUGGGCGUAAAGAGCUCGUAGGCGGUUUGUCGCGUCUGCUGUGAAAACUGGAGGCUCAACCUCCAGCCUGCAGUGGGUACGGGCAGACUAGAGUGCGGUGGGGGAGAUUGGAAUUCCUGGUGUAGCGGUGGAAUGCGCAGAUAUCAGGAGGAACACCAAUGGCGAAGGCAGAUCUCUGGGCCGUAACUGACGCUGAGGAGCGAAAGCAUGGGGAGCGAACAGGAUUAGAUACCCUGGUAGUCCAUGCCGUAAACGUUGGGAACUAGAUGUAGGGUCCAUUCCACGGAUUCUGUGUCGCAGCUAACGCAUUAAGUUCCCCGCCUGGGGAGUACGGCCGCAAGGCUAAGACUCAAAGGAAUUGACGGGGGCCCGCACAAG